rnacentral:misc_RNA from 2 species
AUAAAUGUUACUUCGGUAACUUAAUUAAUCCCUAACACCUGUGCAUCUUGUCGCUUCGGCGUCAUUUUAUAAACAUCAGUGUAAUGAAUGUAAAGUAUUAUAACAAAUA